rnacentral:lncRNA from 1 species
AUGGUGCAAGUAGAGAGAGACAUACAGUAUCGUGCAGGGAGAGAGACACACCUACAGUAUGGUGUAGGGAGAGAGAGAGACCUACAGUAUGGUGCAGGGAGAGAGCGACACCUACAGUAUGGUGCAAGGAGAGAGACACCUACAGUAUGGGGCAGGGAGAGAGAGCAAAAUACCUACAGCAUGGUGCUAGGGAGAAAUAGACACCUACAGUAUUUUGCAGGGAGAGAGACACCUACAGUAUGGUGCAGGGAGAGAGAUACAUACAUUAUGGUGCAGCGAGAGAGAGCAAGAGACCUACAGUAUGGUGCAGGGAGAGAGCGAGAGAUACCUACAGUAUGGUGCAAGGAAAGAGAGACACCUACAGUAUGGUGUAGGGAGAGAGAGACCUACAGUAUGGUGCAGGGAGAGAGAGACAUACAGUAUGGUGCAAGGAGAGAGACACCUACAGUAUGGUGCAGGGAGAGAGAGAGAUACCUACAGUAUGGUGCAGGGAGAGAGAGCAAGAGACCUACAUUAUGGUGCAGGGAGAGAGAGACCUACAGUCUGGUGCAGGGAGAGAGAGACCUACAGUAUGGUGCAGAGAGAGACAUACAGUAUGGUGCAAGGAGAGAGAGAGCAGGGAGAGAGAGACCUACAGUAUGGUGCAGCGAGAGAGAAACCUACAGUAUGGUGCAUAGAGAAACAUCUACAGUAUGGUGCAGGGAGAGACACACCUACAGUCUGGUGCAGAGAGAGACAUACAGUAUGGUGCAGGGAGAGACAGACAGUGUGGUCAAGGGAGAGACAUACAGUAUGGUGCAGGGAGAGAGAGAUCUAGAGACCUACAGUAUUGUGCAGAGCGAGAGAGACAUACAGUAUGGUGCAGGGGAGAGAGUGAGAGACCUACAGUAUGGUGUAGGGAGAGACCUACAGUAUGGUGCUGGGAGAGAGAGAGAGACAUACAGUAUGGUGCAGGGAGAGUGA